UACGUAGGGUGCGAGCGUUAAUCGGAAUUACUGGGCGUAAAGUGUGCGCAGGCGGUUCGUUAAGUCAGAUGUGAAAGCCCCGGGCUCAACCUGGGAACUGCAUUUGAAACUGGCGGGCUUGAGUGUGGCAGAGGGGGGUGGAAUUCCGCGUGUAGCAGUGAAAUGCGUAGAGAUGCGGAGGAACACCGAUGGCGAAGGCAGCCCCCUGGGCCAACACUGACGCUCAGGCACGAAAGCGUGGGGAGCAAACAGG
rnacentral:rRNA from 1 species